rnacentral:rRNA from 1 species
UGCCAGCCGCCGCGGUAAUACGGGGGGAGCAAGCGUUGUCCGGAAUUAUUGGGCGUAAAGGGUGCGUAGGCGGACUAGUAAGUCUGGUGUGAAAGUUUGCGGCUUAACCGUAAAAGGCCACUGGAUACUGUUAGUCUUGAAUCACAGAGGGGGUAGUGGAAUUCCAGGUGUAGCGGUGAAAUGCGUAGAGAUCUGGAGGAACACCGGUGGCGAAGGCGACUGCCUGGCUGUGAAUUGACGCUGAGGCACGAAAGCGUGGGUAGCAAACAGGAUUAGAUA